UACGUAGGGGGCAAGCGUUGUCCGGAAUUAUUGGGCGUAAAGAGCGUGUAGGCGGUCCGGUAAGUCAGCUGUGAAAGUCAAGGGCUCAACCCUUGAAUGCCGGUUGAUACUGUCGGGCUAGAGUCCGGAAGAGGCGAGUGGAAUUCCCGGUGUAGCGGUGAAAUGCGCAGAUAUCGGGAGGAACGCCAAUGGCGAAUGCAGCUCGCUGGGACGGGACUGACGCUGAGACGCGAAAGCGUGGGGAGCAAACAGG
rnacentral:rRNA from 1 species